AGUUGCCAUCGGGCGAGCCGGGCACUCUGGAGGGACUGCCGGCGACAAGCCGGAGGAAGUGGGGAUGACGUCAAGUCAUCAUGGCCCUUAUGUCCAGGGCGACACACGUGCUACAAUGGCCGGCACAGCGGGAAGCGAGGGGCGACCCUGAGCGGAUCCCUUGAAAGCCGGUCCCAGUUCGGAUUGCAGUCUGCAACUCGACUGCAUGAAGUUGGAAUCGCUAGUAAUCGCGGAUCAGCCAAGCCGCGGUGAAUACGUUCCCGGGCCUU
rnacentral:rRNA from 1 species